rnacentral:rRNA from 1 species
GCCUUGCCCAAAACUAGCCUGCACGUCUAGUACAAACUAGCGAUGGUGAAAACUGCAAAUGGCUCAUUACAACGGUUAUGAUGUACCCGGGAGUUCGAUGGAUAUUUCCAGUACCACUAGAACUAAUACUGUCCCUGCGUUUAUUAGUUUCGCACAGUCCGUCGCUGAGUCAUGGUAAACAGUUGAUCGACUCGACGUCCCGGAACAGUUUCCCCCCCCAUCAGCUUUGGAUGGUUGGGGUAUUGGCCCUACCAUUGCAACGACGGGUAACGAGGAAUUAGGGUUUGAUUUCGGAGAGGGAGGCCUGAAAAAACGGCUACCACAUCUACGGAUGGCAGCGGGCGCGCAAAUUACCCAAUGGCAGACACUGGUGAGGUAAUGACGAAAAAUAAUAAAAGCGGGGACUUCUGUUUCGCUAUUAUAAUGGAGAAUAACCCAAGGUCAUUCCCGAAUAACGGCUGAUGGGAAAGUCUGGUGCCCACCGCCGCCGGUAAUACCAG